AGUCGUAACAAGGUCUCCGUUGGUGAACCAGCGGAGGGAUCAUUACCGAGUUUACAACUCCCAAACCCCUGUGAACAUACCUAUACGUUGCCUCGGCGGAUCAGCCCGCGCCCCAUAAAAAGGGACGGCCCGCCCGAGGACCCCUAAACUCUGUUUUUAGUGGAACUUCUGAGUAAAACAAACAAAUAAAUCAAAACUUUCAACAACGGAUCUCUUGGUUCUGGCAUCGAUGAAGAACGCAGCAAAAUGCGAUAAGUAAUGUGAAUUGCAGAAUUCAGUGAAUCAUCGAAUCUUUGAACGCACAUUGCGCCCGCCAGUAUUCUGGCGGGCAUGCCUGUUCGAGCGUCAUUUCAACCCUCAAGCUCAGCUUGGUGUUGGGACUCGCGGUAACCCGCGUUCCCCAAAUCGAUUGGCGGUCACGUCGAGCUUCCAUAGCGUAGUAAUCAUACACCUCGUUACUGGUAAUCGUCGCGGCCACGCCGUAAAACCCCAACUUCUGAAUGUUGACCUCGGAUCAGGUAGGAAUACCCGCUGAACUUAAGCAUAUCA
rnacentral:rRNA from 1 species